rnacentral:rRNA from 1 species
AGGAUCAUUAUCAAAACAGCGGACUUCGGUCUUUGCUGCACCCUUGUCUUUUGCGCACCGAAUUGUUUCCUCGGCGGGCUUGCCUGCCGGUUGGACAUUAUCAAAACCUUUUUGUAGUUGCAAUCAGCGUCAGAAAAAUCAUAAUUAUUACAACUUUCAACAACGGAUCUCUUGGUUCUGGCAUCGAUGAAGAACGCAGCGAAAUGCGAAAAGUAGUGUGAAUUGCAGAAUUCAGUGAAUCAUCGAAUCUUUGAACGCACAUUGCGCCCCUUGGUAUUCCAUGGGGCAUGCCUGUUCGAGCGUCAUUUUGUACCCUCAAGCACUGCUUGGUGUUGGGCGUUUGUCCUGCAGAGGACUCGCCUGAAAGCGAUUGGCGGCCAACGUAGUCGUGGCAGAGCGCAGCACAAUCUCGCGUCUCUCCCCUCUGCGUCGGCGUCCAUGAAGCCCACAAUCUCAACGUUUGACCUCGGAUCAGGUAGGGAUACCCGCUGAACUUAAGCAUAUCAAUAAGCGGAGGAAAAGAAACCAACAGGGAUUGCCCC